AGCUCUGUGGUGAAUUAACAUAUUGAAGUGCAAAUUCAAAGAAGCAGCUUCAAUUCAGCCGGGGCUU
rnacentral:tRNA from 1 species